AACCAGCACCUCAAGUGGUCAGGAGGAUUAUUGGGCCUAAAGCAUCCGUAGCCUGUUUUGUAAGUCUUCGGUUAAAUCUAUACGCUCAACGUAUGGGCUGCCGAAAAUACUGUAGAGAUAGGGAGUGGGAGAGGUAGACGGUACUCGGUAGGAAGGGGUAAAAUCCUUUGAUCUAUCGAUGACCACCUGUUGCGAAGGCGCCACACUAGAACGGAUCCGACGGUCAGGGACGAAGCCUAGGGGCACGAACCGG
rnacentral:rRNA from 1 species